UAUGGUGUCCACUCCACUAAUCACAGUCCAGAAAAUCAAUAAUGUCAUCAACAGCCGGUGCUGAAUGAAUCGGCUACAGCCCCGAAAGCUCAUUUCCUUGGGUGUCUCUGUAAUUGUUCCUAUCUCGACCCGACAACUGCUGAUCUGUUUCCCACCCCUUAGGAGGGGCUCCCUGAGGUUCUCGACCUGAGAAGAUUUCUUCCAGAAGAAAUACAAUUAUCUUACAGUCCGUCCUGGAAAUCUCAUUAAUACUGUAAACCGCAAAAAAAAAAAAAAAAAAAAAAAA